CGAACGCUGGCGGCGUGCUUACCACAUGCAAGUCGAACGGAAAGGCCCUGCUUUUGUGGGGUGCUCGAGUGGCGAACGGGAGAGUAACACGUGAGUAACCUGCCCUUGACUUUGGGAUAACUUCAGGAAACUGGGGCUAAUACCGGAUAGGAGCUCCUGCUGCAUGGUGGGGGUUGGAAAGUUUCGGCGGUUGGGGAUGGACUCGCGGCUUAUCAGCUUGUUGGUGGGGUAGUGGCUUACCAAGGCUUUGACGGGUAGCCGGCCUGAGAGGGUGGCCGGCCACAUUGGGACUGAGAUACGGCCCAGACUCCUACGGGAGGCAGCAGUGGGGAAUAUUGCACAAUGGGCGGAAGCCUGAUGCAGCAACGCCGCGUGCGGGAUGACGGCCUUCGGGUUGUAAACCGCUUUCGCCUGUGACGAAGCGUGAGUGACGGUAAUGGGUAAAGAAGCACCGGCUAACUACGUG
rnacentral:rRNA from 1 species